UGAGUAACGCGUGGGUAACCUGCCUUAUACAGGGGGAUAACAGUCAGAAAUGGCUGCUAAUACCGCAUAAGCGCACAGAGCUGCAUGGCUCAGUGUGAAAAACUCCGGUGGUAUAAGAUGGACCCGCGUUGGAUUAGCUUGUUGGUGGGGUAACGGCCCACCAAGGCGACGAUCCAUAGCCGGCCUGAGAGGGUGAACGGCCACAUUGGGACUGAGACACGGCCCAGACUCCUACGGGAGGCAGCAGUGGGGAAUAUUGCACAAUGGGGGAAACCCUGAUGCAGCGACGCCGCGUGAAGGAAGAAGUAUCUCGGUAUGUAAACUUCUAUCAGCAGGGAAGAUAGUGACGGUACCUGACUAAGAAGCCCCGGCUAACUACGUGCCAGCAGCCGCGGUAAUACGUAGGGGGCAAGCGUUAUCCGGAUUUACUGGGUGUAAAGGGAGCGUAGACGGUGUGGCAAGUCUGAUGUGAAAGGCAUGGGCUCAACCUGUGGACUGCAUUGGAAACUGUCAUACUUGAGUGCCGGAGGGGUAAGCGGAAUUCCUAGUGUAGCGGUGAAAUGCGUAGAUAUUAGGAGGAACACCAGUGGCGAAGGCGG
rnacentral:rRNA from 1 species